CCUACGGGUGGCAGCAGUGGGGAAUAUUGCACAAUGGGGGAAACCCUGAUGCAGCGACGCCGCGUGAGUGAAGAAGUAUUUCGGUAUGUAAAGCUCUAUCAGCAGGGAAGAAAAUGACGGUACCUGAUUAAGAAGCCCCGGCUAACUACGUGCCAGCAGCCGCGGUAAUACGUAGGGGGCAAGCGUUAUCCGGAUUUACUGGGUGUAACGGGAACGUAGACGGCAGCACCAGUCUGGAGUGAAAUGCCGGGGCUCAACCCCGGAACUGCGUUGGACACUGGGCAGCUAGAGUGCAGGAGAGGUAAGUAGAAUUCCUAGUGUAGCGGUGAAAUGCGUAGAGAUGAGGAGGAACACCAGUGGCGAAGGCGGCUUACUGGACUGUAACUGACGUUGAGGCGCGAAAGCGUGGGGAGCAAACAGGAUUAGAUACCCUGGUAGUC
rnacentral:rRNA from 1 species